rnacentral:snRNA from 3 species
AUACUUACCUGGACGGGGUUAAUGGGCGAUCAAGAAGGCUCAUGGCCUAGAUUAGUGGCCUCCAUUGCACUUAGGAGGAACGCUCGUCUACCAUCUCCCCAAGUGGGAGAGUGGACGUCAUAAUUUGUGGCAGAGGGGGUACGCGUUCGCGCGGCCCCUAC